rnacentral:lncRNA from 1 species
CCUUUCGGAGAGGCAUCAGGUAGAGAUCUAGUCGGAGAAAAAGAAGAAGAUAUCGGAGAAGAUGACCGGAGGCAGUCCCGUUGAGCACUCCUUUAAGAACAAGGGUACUGCGAAGACACAGGUCCUUCCUCUAGUGCCAAUUCUGUUGGUGCAGAAUCCCGCCGAAGUCAGAGAAGUUGCAGCUGGGAUGGCCGUGGCCAU